ensembl:snRNA U6 U6 spliceosomal RNA
GUGCUUUUUUAGCAGCAUACACUAUGCACUUAGUCAGAAUGACAUAGAGAAGAUCAGCGUGUGCCUUGUACAAGGAUGGCAUCCAAAUUCGUGAGUCUUUCCAUGUUUUC